rnacentral:rRNA from 1 species
AAUGGGCGCAAGCCUGAUCCAGCCAUGCCGCGUGAGUGACGAAGGUCUUCGGAUUGUAAAGCUCUUUUGGCGGGGACGAUAAUGACGGUACCCGCAGAAUAAGCCCCGGCUAACUUCGUGCCAGCAGCCGCGGUAAUACGAAGGGGGCUAGCGUUGUUCGGAAUUACUGGGCGUAAAGCGCACGUAGGCGGACUCUUAAGUCAGGGGUGAAAUCCCGGGGCUCAACCUCGGAACUGCCUUUGAUACUGUGAGUCUCGAGACCGGAAGAGGUGAGUGGAAUUCCUAGUGUAGAGGUGAAAUUCGUAGAUAUUAGGAAGAACACCAGUGGCGAAGGCGGCUCACUGGUCCGGUUCUGACGCUGAGGUGCGAAAGCGUGGGGAGCAAA